GCAGUAGCUUAGCUGGUAGAGCACAAGACUUGUAAUCCAAGGGAUGCUGGUUCAAUAUCCACCCAGACAAGCUGCU